GUCUACGGCCAUACCACCCUGAACGAGCCCAAUCUCGUCUGAUCUCGGAAGCUAAGCAGGGUCGGGCCUGGUUGGUACUUGGAUGGGAGUACACACACUGUGAAACAGAUCCCACUACUGCAGCCC
rnacentral:rRNA from 1 species